rnacentral:rRNA from 1 species
GACGAACGCUGGCGGCGUGCCUAAUACAUGCAAGUUGAGCGCUGAAGGUUGGUACUUGUACCAACUGGAUGAGCAGCGAACGGGUGAGUAACGCGUGGGGAAUCUGCCUUUGAGCGGGGGACAACAUUUGGAAACGAAUGCUAAUACCGCAUAAAAACUUUAAACACAAGUUUUAAGUUUGAAAGAUGCAAUUGCAUCACUCAAAGAUGAUCCCGCGUUGUAUUAGCUAGUUGGUGAGGUAAAGGCUCACCAAGGCGAUGAUACAUAGCCGACCUGAGAGGGUGAUCGGCCACAUUGGGACUGGGACACGGCCCAAACUCCUACGGGAGGCAGCAGUAGGGAAUCUUCGGCAAUGGACGAAAGUCUAACCGAGCAACGCCGCGUGAGUGAAGAAGGUUUUCGGAUCGUAAAACUCUGUUGGUAGGGAAGAACGUUGGUGAGAGUGGAAAGCUCAUCAAGUGACGGUAACUACCCAGAAAGGGACGGCUAACUACGUG